GAGGAGUACGAAUAGUUAAUUACAAAAGAAAAUCCUAUUUGAUUUAAACUCACAUGUUGAAAAAAGCAGAAUACCAAUGAAUAUCAAAGCUGAUUU
rfam:Brassica napus, WGS project CCCW01000000 data, contig: 4371